AUUGAACGCUGGCGGCAGGCCUAACACAUGCAAGUCGAACGAGUGGCGGACGGGUGAGUAAUGUCUGGGAAACUGCCCGAUGGAGGGGGCUAACUACUGGACACGGUAGCUAAUACCGCAUACCAUCGGAUGUGCCCAGAUGGGAUUAGCUAGUAGGUGAGGUAACGGCGCACCUAGGCGACGAUCCCUAGCUGGUCUGAGAGGAUGACCAGCCACACUGGAACUGAGAAACGGAACAGACUCCGACGGGAGGCAGCAGUGGGGAAUAUUGCACAAUGGGCGCAACCCUGACAGAGCCAUGCCGCGUGAAUGAAGAAGGCCUUCGGGUGGUAAAGUUCUUUCGGUAGCGAGGCGUUAACUACAAAAGAAGCACCGGCUAACUCCGUGCCAGCAGCCGCGGUAAUAC
rnacentral:rRNA from 1 species